UACGUAGGGGGCAAGCGUUGUCCGGAUUUAUUGGGCGUAAAGAGCGUGUAGGCGGCCAGGUAGGUCAGUUGUGAAAACUCGAGGCUCAACCUCGAGACGCCGAUGGAAACCAUCUGGCUAGAGUCCGGAAGAGGAGAGUGGAAUUCCCGGUGUAGCGGUGAAAUGCGCAGAUAUCUGGAAGAACACCCGUGGCUAAGGCGGCUCUCUAGUACGGUACUGACGCUGAGACGCGAAAGCGUGGGGAGCGAACAGG
rnacentral:rRNA from 1 species